rnacentral:rRNA from 1 species
GUUGAACGCUGGCGGCAGGCCUAACACAUGCAAGUCGAGCGGAUGAAGGGAGCUCUCUCCUGGAUGCAGCUGCGGACGGGUGAGUAAUGCCUACGAAGCUGCCUGGUCUAUGGGGAUAACGUCCGGUAACGGGCGCUAAUACCGCAUCCGUCCUGAUAGAGAAACUGGGGGUUCUUCGGACAUCACGCUAUCUGCUGAGCCUAGGCCGGAUUAGCUAGUUGGUUGGGUAAAGGCCUACCAAGGCGACGAUCCGUAACUGGUCUGAGAGGAUGAUCGGUCACACUGGAACUGAGACACGGUCCAGACUCCUACGGGAGGCAGCAGUGGGGAAUCUUCGACAAUGGGCGAAAGCCUGAUGCAGCCAUGCCGCGUGUGUGAUGAAGGUCUUCGGAUUGUAAAGCACUGUAAGUUGGGAGGAAGGGCUGUAAGAUAAUAUAUUGCCGUUUUGACGUUACCUACACAAUAAGCACCGGCUAACUACGUG